UGGUAGUCCACGCUGUAAACGAUGUCGACUUGGAGGUUGUGCCCUUGAGGCGUGGCUUCCGGAGCUAACGCGUUAAGUCGACCGCCUGGGGAGUACGGCCGCAAGGUUAAAACUCAAAUGAAUUGACGGGGGCCCGCACAAGCGGUGGAGCAUGUGGUUUAAUUCGAUGCAACGCGAAGAACCUUACCUACUCUUGACAUCCACGGAAUUCGCCAGAGAUGGCUUAGUGCCUUCGGGAACCGUGAGACAGGUGCUGCAUGGCUGUCGUCAGCUCGUGUUGUGAAAUGUUGGGUUAAGUCCCGCAACGAGCGCAACCCUUAUCCUUUGUUGCCAGCACGUAAUGGUGGGAACUCAAAGGAGACUGCCGGUGAUAAACCGGAGGAAGGUGGGGAUGACGUCAAGUCAUCAUGGCCCUUACGAGUAGGGCUACACACGUGCUACAAUGGCAUAUACAAAGAGAAGCGAACUCGCGAGAGCAAGCGGACCUCAUAAAGUAUGUCGUAGUCCGGAUUGGAGUCUGCAACUCGACUCCAUGAAGUCGGAAUCGCUAGUAAUCGUAGAUCAGAAUGCUACGGUGAAUACGUUCCCGGGCCUUGUACACACCGCCCGUCACACCAUGGGAGUGGGUUGCAAAAGAAGUAGGUAG
rnacentral:rRNA from 1 species